rnacentral:rRNA from 1 species
UACAGAGGUCUCAAGCGUUAUCCGGAUUCAUUGGGUUUAAAGGGAGCGUAGGUGGCCUUAUAAGUCAGUGGUGAAAUCUCUGGGCUUAACCCAGAAAUUGCCAUUGAUACUGUAGGGCUUGAGUAUAGUUGCCGUUGGCGGAAUAUGACAUGUAGUGGUGAAAUACAUAGAGAUGUCAUAGAACACCGAUUGCGAAGGCAGCUGACGAAACUAUAACUGACACUGAGGCUCGAAAGUGCGGGGAUCAAACAGG